CUCGAGACGGCGGGGUAGAGGCCCGCCGCGGUAACGACGGGUAACGGGGAAUCAGGGUUCGAUUCCGGAGAGGGAGCCCGAGAAACGGCUACCACUUCCAAGGAAGGCAGCAGGCGCGCAACUUACCCUAAUCUCGAUUCGAGGAGGUAGUGACAAGAAAUACCGAUGCGGGACCCUACGGGUGCCGCGUUCGGAAUGAGUACGAUUCGAACCACCUAACGAGGAACGAUCGGAGGGCAAGUCUGGUGCCAGCAGCCGCGGUAAUUCCAGCUCCAAUAGCGUACGUUAAAGUUGCUGCAGUUAAAAAGCUCGUAGUUGAACGUUCGGGUUCCGCGGGACGGGCCGCCCCGCGAGGGACGGCGCCGCCCCGGGGCUCGUGAUAUCUUAUCUCGCCGCCCGUCGCGAGGCGGACGGAGGGAUGGAUGAGGUUACCUGGAAAAAAAUCGGGGCGAUCUAGGCGGGCGAACCUCGCCAACGAACGAUCGGACAUGGGAUAACGGAAGAGGGCGUCGGCUCGACUUCGUCGGUUCCUCGGGCCGAGGCACGUACGGUGAAUAGGG
rnacentral:rRNA from 1 species